AUUUCAUCUGGUACAUUUUCCCUUCUGCAGUACCUUUUGUAAACAUCCAGUAGCUUAGAUAUGCAUUCUGUGUUUAUCUGUUUGCUGACAUCUUUUUAGGAGAUCCAUUUCCAAACGUCUUCAGUCGAAAAUGAGAUGUCACUGCUUUAGUCUGAAGAUGUAUUAAAAUGAGAGUGGAACAGAGAUAGGAGGAAAAUUUUAUUUUCUCUCUGUUUUUUGUUUUGUUUUUU
rnacentral:lncRNA from 1 species